AAAAAAAACACAGGCAGUCGAUUUUAUUUGGGUAUUUUUUAGAUCUGUUUGAAGCAUUAUGUUCUCUCCUCCUGGUUUGUUUUACUUUCUGCCGAUGUCAGAUCGGGCGGUUGGGGUAGCUAUGGCGCCGGCCUUGUUACUGUGCGCGUGGCCGCUGAAGCUACUCUUGAGGUGGGAGAGACUGAGAGUUUGUGUUGAUGGCCGGCUAUGGGACCAGAAAUUGGAAAUGGCCGGUUUGGGUUUGUUUUGGGGCUGGGGGGGAAGGAAAGCUUUGGCUGGCGAGAGGGGAAAAUGAAACCGAAGGGAAAAGGCUGGAAUCAGGGAAAAGGGAGUGUUGGUGUUGUGGUCGGGUGUCUGUGGGGGUAAGUGGCUGAGAUGGAGAAAUGGAGGGGCUCGCUGGUGG
rnacentral:lncRNA from 1 species